CCUACGGUGUUCCGCCGUUCUUACUAUUUUUCCCUUUCCUCCCUCCUGCCCCCGCCCUGUCGCGUGAGGGAAUAAGGCCCUACGGGUCGUAAACCUCUUUUGCCGGGGAGUAAGUGCGGGGACGUGUCCCGGCCCGGAGAGUACCUGGAGAAAAAGCAUCGGCUAACUCCGUGCCAGCAGCCGCGGUAAUACGGAGGAUGCGAGGGUGAUCCGGUUUUUUGGGGUUUAAGGGUUGGGUAGGCGUGCUUUUAGGUCAGCGGUAAAAAUUCGGGGCUCAACCCCGUCCGGCCGGUGAGACUGGGGGCCUUGAGUGGUCGAGAAGAAGGCGGAAUGCGUGGUGUAGCGGUGAAAUGCAUAGAUAUCACGCAGAACACCGAUUGCGAAGGCAGCCUUCCGGCGCACUACUGACGCUGAGGCACGAAAGUGCGGGGAUCGAACAGGAUUAGAUACCCCGGUAGUC
rnacentral:rRNA from 1 species